UUAAGUUCAGCGGGUAGUCCUACCUGAUUUGAGGCCAGAUCAUAAAAAAUUGCCCAAGGGCGAUUAGAAGCUGACAACUAUGCCUUUCUUAUCCCGGCCAGCCGCAUUGCUGCAACUGUCCUCAACGAAAUACUUAUCACGUUGAGUGGAACCGAUUACGAAAAGGGUCUGCUAAUGCAUUUCGAGCGAGCCGCAACAAA
rnacentral:misc_RNA from 2 species